GUCUUUUUGCCUUUUCUAGGGCUGUUCCCGUGGCAUAUGGUGGUUCCCAGGCUAGGGGUCCAAUUGGAGCUGUAGCUGCUGGCCUACGCCAGAGCCACAACAACGCAGGAUCCAAGCCUUGUCUGCAACCCACACCACAGCUCACGGCAAUGAGGGAUCGUUAACCCACUGAGAAAGGCCAGGGAUCGAACCUGCAACCUCAUGGUUCCUAAUCGGAUUCGUUAACCACUGAGCCACAAUGGGAACUCCGCUAUUACUAUUUUUGAUAACUUCAUCCACUUUUAUAAGACCUGGGGAGAGAUAUCUGCAAAUAUUUAACUCUCUUGGACUGAAAUCUAGUGCUUGUACCUAUGAUAAAGCAAAGGCUAUUUUCCCACAUUGAAAAGAUAACCAAGAGAGAAGAGGAGCCCACACGGGGGUCUCUCCCUUCUAUUUCAGGAGGCUGAAACAUUUCUGGUUGCUGAAACACAAUGGAAAAUCUCAGAGUUUGAAGACGCAUGUAGAAACCACACAGCCACCUCCUAUUGUUUUUGCAGGACGUGAUGGCAAAGAUGAUUCUUUGCCAUUUGAGUGCCUCUGGCCUCCAGUUCACCAGUUAAAACUGAGGUGUGUGAGCUCUAUGGGGUACGUGUGAGCUGAACCAGCACUUGCAGGACAGAGAGUGGAGAGAACAUGGUCAAAGUAGCACAGGAACUUCUGGCUUAGAUGCUGACAGGUUGAGGAACAGCCGCACAAGGGAGCAAGCAUGCCAGGGAACGGUGCAAGCAGGCCAGGGAGAGGCGUGCGCAGUAGUGAAUGGAAAAUUCGUAGACAGUUUUCCCAGAUUUAAAAAGUUACUGACAGAUGGAGAGCUGUAGGUAGAUGAGAGAGAAACUUAAUAAGCAUUUCUCUGUUAUGUGUUUGGAUCUUAUUUUCAAAGUUCUUUGCAGGCAUGAAUGAAGAAUUAAAACUUGUUCCUGAAUUCCUAUUAGAGGCUAAAACUGGGCUUCUAAACCUUGCAAAAAACCUCAGGCACUAAAACAAGUGGGUCUCUAAGAUCAACAGUUUAUAACUCUAUGAGGAAACAGAGAUCCGGGAAAAAUAAGAUUCUUAUCUAACAAGUCGAUCUCGUUGGUCACUAUGGCCAAUCAGGACAAUGUCAUUCACCCAGGGCACAAGCCCUUCCUUUCGAAUCACCCCCAAGUUCAUCUCCUGUGAGACUCGCAAUCAGUAGCAGACACCGAUUUACCAAGAUGUCUCAAAGCAGUGGCCUUCUGGCCAAAGUCCAAACCUUCCCUUUUUUUUCUAAACUUGCUUUCAUAAUAGAAGAAUGCAAGGCAGCAUUUCUAAUACAACAAAACACAACAAAAAAACAUUAGCUGGAGUUCCUGUCGUGGCUCAGCAGAAGCAAAUCUGACUCAUAUCCAUGAGGACUAAGGUUCAAUCCCUGACAUUGCUCAGUGGGUUAAGGAUCCGGUGUUGCCAUAAGCUGAGGCAGUAGAUCAGAGAUGCAGCUUGGAUCUGGUGUUGCUGUGGCUCUGGUGUAGGCUGACAGCUAUAGCUCCAAGCCUGGGAACCUCCAUGUGCCACAGGUGCAGCCCUUUGAAAAAAAAAAACAAAAAAAAGUCAAAAAGAACAUUAUACACAUCUUAAAGAAACAGAGGGAUUUCUCUGUUUAUGAUUGUGGCACGUAUAGGGAAAUUGCCACCUGACACUUGCAAAGUGCUUACUCUGUGCCGGGUGCACUUCUAGCACUGUCAUAGGGAUUCAGGCCUUUCUGAGUGAAAUAGGUUCUGUUGAGAUCAUUCUCAUUUUUCCCACAAAGAACCCAAGGCUCUAAACACCAGGUGGUUUGCCAAAGUUCACACCUUUGGUAAAUAGCAGAGCUGGGAUUUUGACCCUAGAGACCAGAUGCUCAACCACACAUACUGCAGGUUGGGUUCUGGACCAUCUCAAUAAAGCAAAUAAUGAAGUAACGUGAGUCACACACAUAUUUUAAUUUCUGAAGUCCUAUCAAAGUUAUGUCCACAGUAUACUAUAGCACAGGCCUUACCACGAUUUGUUUCUAUUUCAACAAUAUUUAAUGUAACAGCUUUAUUUCUACCUACUUGUGAAGCUGGAUUGAGAAAAGUGAUUGGUGGCCUAACCAUAACUUCUGCGACCAAAAAAAUGCGGACCUAAGCUAUCACAAAAAAGUAGAAAAGCAUUGUAUUUCACUUGUGUUAACCCCUUUCUUGCUCAGAGAUCCAAAACACAUGCCAAGAACACAACAAAACCAACAUCCAAAGAGAAGUCAUCCCUCUACUCCUGGACAAUGUUGUGUAGAUAAAAACAUUACCCCAUGUCUCUCUUUUCCUUCUCUCCCCAUUGUUUUAUAUUGUUUCCAAGAAGGCAAUAAGAAACUCUUUCCCCUACUGUUUAUGGACUACUUAAAAAAAAAAAAACCACAUCAAUAGCAGACCACCUAUACGAUCUCAGCAUAUGCCAAAGAUCAAAAGUUGAUUUUGAUCUUUCAGACCACGGUCAACACAGCUAAACAUUAACACAAUUAAAAAAAUAUAAAGAUCUAGAACAAAAUAUAAGCCCAUAUAUAAUUGAUCUCUGGAUAGGCAAUGACUUCUUACAAAUUUAAUUCUAAAAGGAAAGGGAAGAAUUACAGAGGUGACCAUAUUAAAAAAAAAAAUUCUGAUUGGAUGCUUUCGCUUUGCUGCCAAGCAGCAUUUGCUUGCUGGUCCAGAGCACUUAUCAGAGUGACGUCAAUAUCGAGCGGGUCCAUGACUGUAUUCCAUACUAUUCUGUAAGCUUCCUCAAGUUGCAGCUGUGCACAUCUGGUCUCUAUGUACUGCCUGACACAUAUCGGGCAUUCAGAAAUACUUCUUCAAUGACUUUCUAAAAUCACAAAUAUAGAGAAAAAGAAUUUUCAGCAAAUACAAAAAUAAUAUUUGUAAGUCCACAAGAAAGCACACGUCUCACAGAAAAGCGUGUUUAAAAUGUCCAGAUUAUUCAGACAUCUGAAUUAUUAUUAUUUUUUAUUUUUUUGUCUUUUUUUUUUUGCCAUUUCUUGGGCCAUUCCUGCGGCAUAUGGAGGUUCCCAGGCUAGGGGUCAAAUCGGAGCUGAAGCCACCGGCCUAUGCCAGAGCCACAGCAACGCGGGAUCUGAGCCGCGUCUGCAACCUACACCUCAGCUCACAGCAACGCCAGAUCCUUAACCCACUAAGCAAGGCCAGGGAUCGAACCCGCAACCUCAUGGUUCCUAGUCAGAUUCGUUAACCACUGAGCCACGAGGGGAACUCCCAGACAUCUGAAUUAUUAAUAAAAUAUGUCUCAAUUCUCAUUCUUCCUUCCAAUAAAAUAAACAGAAUUAAAAUUAGAUUAACGCCAAUACUGGCUGUCACAUUGGCCAGCUAAUGUACCCCGUUGCACAGGAUUAUAGUGUGAAUGUGGAUUUAUCACAGACUUGCUAGAAUAAUUUCAAAGAGCCAAAGCAGGAGACGUAUUAACCAUAAUCUCAAAACAAACAAACAAAACCCAGUCAUGUUCGUUAGAGCCCAGCAGAUCACAAACUCCAAGCAUACUCUGUAUAGGAAGCAAAGGGGAAUAAAAAAGUGUGUAUUCAUGACUGAAAUCAAAUAAGAUUACUGAAAAUAACCAACCCAAGCACAGUCCUAAAUCCUUAUAUAUGUUAUUCUCCAUGUUCUCUAUGAACAAAAGACUUUUAUAUACAAAAUAUUUCCUACUUGGUGAUGUUCCAGAAUUAACACUCUUAGCCUCCUUUUGAAUAUGUAUUGAAUAUGUAUUGUUCUGAUGACUUUCACUAAGAUCAAGGGUAUAACCCAGGGAGUAGAAAUAUUUUGAUAACAUAUCGAUUAUGUAUGCUCAUACAUUGUGUUAACAUAUGAGUUCACAACAUACAAAUGUUUUAUUUCAUAUGUGCUUUUAUCACCGUUUUAUUUUUAAGGUAAAAUAAAAACAAAUUACAUAUGUUUUUACUUUAUAGUAUGUACAGACAUAUAACUAUAUUUUCUAAUUAAACAUGUAUAAGCAGUAUAUACAUACACAUUUUUGAUAGUGAUGGUGUGUUCAUUUAAUUAGGUUAGAUAACUGUUCAUUUAAGUAGGUUUCUGCUGUAUAUGUUCAUAGGAUUAAGUCAUUUUUUUAUUCUAAAAUUUGCUAAAAGACAUUUAAAAAAUAGGCGUUUGACUUUUUAAAUUUAAAAAAAUUUUUAAAACUAAUUUUAUUGGCAUAUGGUUGACUGAGAAAGUUGCAUUCAUUUCAGGUGUACAGCAAAGUACAUCAGCUAUACAUAUACAUAUAUCUGUUCUUUUUCAGAUUAUUUUCCUAUUCAGGUUAUUACACAGUACUGAGCAGACUACCCUGUACUAGACAGUAAGUAGGUCCUUGUUACCUAUUAGAUGUUUGACUUUUAUUAAAUACUGUUGACAUCUUUCAAGAUGAUCUUUUGAAUAUUAUUUUUAACAUGUUUGAAUAUUUUCUAAAGCUGAUCAUCUCUUAGCUUCCUGGAGUAAAUUCUACUUGAUCAAGAUGUUUCACUAUUUCAACAAA
rnacentral:lncRNA from 1 species